rnacentral:rRNA from 1 species
AGAAAGAAACCUUACCAAGGAAUUCCCCUAGUAACUGCGAGUGAAGCGGGAAGAGGCUCAAAUUUAAAAUCUGGCGGUCUUUGGCCGUCCGAGUUGUAAUCUAGAGAAGUGUUUUCUGUGCUGGACCGUGUACAAGUUUCUUGGAACAGAACAUCAUAGAGGGUGAGAAUCCCGUCUUUGACACGGACUACCAGUGCUAUGUGAUGCGCUCUCAAAGAGUCGCGUUGUUUGGGAAUGCAGCGCAAAAUGGGUGGUAAAUUCCAUCUAAAGCUAAAUAUUGGCGAGAGACCGAUAGCGAACAAGUACCGUGAGGGAAAGAUGAAAAGCACUUUGGAAAGAGAGUUAAACAGUACGUGAAAUUGUUGAAAGGGAAACGCUUGAAGUCAGUCGCGUCUGACGGAACUCAGCCUUGCUUUUGCUUGGUGCAUUUUCUGUUUGACGGGCCAACAUCGAUUUUGGCCGCUGGAUAAAGUGCAGGGGAAUGUGGCACCUUCUGGUGUGUUAUAGCCUUUGUUCACAUACAGCGGCUGGGAUCGAGGACUGCAGCACGCCUUUUUGGCCGGGGUUCGCCCACGUACGUGCUUAAGGAUGUUGGCGUAAUGGCUUUAAGCGACCCGUCUU